UUAGUUUAAUCUGUUCUUAAAUAAAAAAAAAAGAGAUAUAAAUAAAUUAAAAAUUGAAAAUAAAAUAAAAUUGCUUGACCCGUAUUAAACGAGGAUACCCGACCCAUUAAGAAAAAAGUGAAGGCGUGACUCACGCGCUUAAUAUGUUGCGUGAAGGAAAGACUUUUUAAAACCAAAUGCACGGGACAGAUCUGGAGUGGGACCCACAUGUGUGCCUCCAAAUAAGGUAACCGGGCACCGUCAGAUCCGGGAAGUUGCAUCAGAGCCGCACAAGUAUUCAUGGAAAGUAAAGCAAAUAUUAUACUCAUCAUACAUCAUCUAUAUAUGUAACUAUAAUAAAUAGUAUAAAAUAAUAAAAUGGAAAGAAAAAAAAAAUGAGUUGCUAGGGUUAAUGGGAUCAAACGUAGACAGCUUUUUGUAAUGUUUGUUUGGGAUGAAGGAAAAAGAGAAUUUAGAAGGAAAGUGAAUAAAAGAAAAAAGAAAAAAAGAAAAGAAAAGAAAAGUGGGGUUGAGUAAUCUUUUUUAGGCCCAAUAUUCUUCUUGGGAUUGGUGGUAAAAAGACCUUCGUUUUUUAUCCUAUAAAUACCCUCACAAUCACCCACUCUUUCCAUCUCCCUAAACCUGUGCGCUACAAUUUCCCUUCUCUCUCUUAUCUUUUUCUUCCUUUCUUGUUCUUCCAAGAAAAUCCUUUUCCAUUCUUGUUUUUAGGGUUUUCUUGUUUACAUGAACAGAUAAAAAUGACUCUCUUUGUAUUCUUCCACAGCUUUCUUGAACUGCAUCUAUUACAGAACUGGUAGUAGUGCUUUUGCUUCCUUGCAAUUGCUUGCAUGCCACUGUACGGCUGGCUCCUUUUUUUUUUCUUCUUUUGUUUUGUUUUUGCGGUUCAAUAAAGCUGUGGGAAGAUACGAACAGGGUCAAGAAAUCAGCACCCAAUUUGGUUUAAUCAUCAAGCUUUUGUAUGCUAUUAGAUAUGGAUUUCUAUUCAAGCAAGUGUACCAAACAUGAGCUCACAUGAAUGAUAACCUAAAGCUGGGUACCUUCUGCUUUUAAAGAACUGAGUUGGUAGAGCUAUUAAUGCACGUAAUCACGUCAAGGCAUAAGUUCUUUGUCUAUCUACUGUCGUCAAAGUGCUGAGGACUGAGAGCUGCUUUUCCAGCAGAUUGUAAUGCUCAACUGGUGUGCGAAUUGUUGUAAUAGUAAUGCUCCAGCAGAUUUUAACUUGAUAUUCUGCUGGUAUGUACUUCUGCUCUAAUGGAUGCAGAUCUGGUGCCUAUGCUUAGACAUGUUUGGUUGUGGCUGAUUUGCAUUAUCCCAGGUUCAGUAGUUGUUGCUGGGUGCUAGAAAUGCUCUAAUGAAGGAUCAUGUUCUCGUUUUCUUUUC